rnacentral:rRNA from 1 species
AUGCAAGAAAUAGUUUGCGGCUGCUCGGGCGUACCAACAAGAAGUAACACAAGGUCUUGUCGAUGCAGAUGUCUAGCAAUGAUAAGGUUGCUACGCUCAAAGAACAAUGGAUGGUACAUAAGCGAGCACAUGGAAUUCCACAACCACUCUCUUACAGAUAAGUGUGGCCAGAAAAUAUAUUGGCCCUCGCAUAGACAUAUCGACAUCUAUACACAAGAUGUUAUCAAGCAGCUUCGUGCAAAUAAUAUUAGCAUUGGCAAAGUCUACAACAUAAUUGGCAGUUUCUUUGGCUCCAUGAGCAGUGUUCCUUUCAGCAAGAGAGCUUUGAGGGGCCUUUGUGGACAGAUAAGCCGGGAUCAGGCAGAUGAUGACGUUAGAAAGACAAUGGAAGUUUUUGCUGAAUUGGGAUCCAAAGAUUCUGGGUUGUACUACAGAGUACAACCAGAUACGGACGGUCACAUAUGA